UACAGAGGGGGCAAGCGUUGUUCGGAAUUACUGGGCGUAAAGGGCGCGUAGGCGGCUUGCCGAGUCAGGGGUGAAAUCUUUCGGCUCAACCGGAAAACCGCCCCUGAUACCGGUAGGCUGGAGGGAGGUAGGGGCAGACGGAACUUCCGGUGGAGCGGUGAAAUGCGUAGAUAUCGAGAGGAACACCGGUGGCGAAGGCGGCCAACUGGACAGAUACUGACGCUGAGACACGAAAGCGUGGGGAGCAAACAGG
rnacentral:rRNA from 1 species